rnacentral:rRNA from 1 species
GGCUCAGGACGAACGCUGGCGGCGUGCCUAACACAUGCAAGUCGAGCGAAGUAAGUCUAAAUGAAGUUUCGAUGGAAUUUAGACUUAUCUUAGCGGCGGACGGGUGAGUAACGCGUGAGAAACCUGCCUUUCACAAAGGGAUAGCCUCGGGAAACUGGGAUUAAUACCUUAUGAUACUAAAAAUACCGCAUGGUAAAGUAGUUAAAGCGUAAAGCGGUGAAAGAUGGUCUCGCGUCCCAUUAGCUAGUUGGUGAGGUAACGGCUCACCAAGGCAACGAUGGGUAGCCGGCCUGAGAGGGUGAACGGCCACACUGGAACUGAGACACGGUCCAGACUCCUACGGGAGGCAGCAGUGGGGAAUAUUGCACAAUGGAGGAAACUCUGAAUGCAGCGACGCCGCGUGAACGAUGAAGGCCUUCGGGUCGUAAAGUUCUGUCCUGGGGGACGAUAAUGACGGUACCCCAGGAGGAAGCCCCGGCUAACUACGUGCCAGCAGCAGC